rfam:Harpegnathos saltator strain R22 G/1 HarSal_1.0_2.contig7405, whole genome shotgun sequence.
UAUAUGGCUCCUAUAGGAGCCACCCCGGUCGUCUAAAGGUUAAUAU